CAGUAGCCGCGGGAAUACUGAGGGUGCAAGCGUUAAUCGGAAUUACUGGGCGUAAAGCGCACGCAGGCGGUCUGACAAGUCAGAUGUGAAAUCCCCGGGCUUAACCUGGGAACUGCAUUUGAAACUGUCAGGCUGGAGUCUUGUAGAGGGGGGUGGAAUUCCAGGUGUAGCGGUGAAAUGCGUAGAGAUCUGGAGGAAUACCGGUGGCGAAGGCGGCCCCCUGGACAAAGACUGACGCUCAGGUGCGAAAGCGUGGGGAGCAAACAGGAUUAGAUACCCGAGUGUCCCUGUCUCUUAUACA
rnacentral:rRNA from 1 species